GCUGAGGCUAGGCCUCUUCCUGCUCGACAUGCUGCUGGUGGUGUUUGUGCUGUGGUUAUGCUGUUGGAAUUAAAGUGGUGAUCCUGGAGCAUUGUGUGGUUCCCCAUUAGAAGCUGUUGCCUAACAAAGCGUGGUUGAAUGUCUGCUGCUGUUUUUUUCCACCCUUUGCUUAGCCCCUUUUGUUAGAUGGUUUUUGCCCCUUUUGCUCCCUCUUUAGUGUUUAUUUUUGUUCUUUAGUUCACUUUAGUGUUCUUUUGAUUCUUUAGCAUUAGCCUUUUGUUAUUUUGGGUUGUUUGGUUCUCUUUUGCAUUGAGUUUGCUUUAGCUAAUAGUUUGGUUGCAUUUCAUUAGUUGAGUAAUAUUAUUCCUUAGUCAUUUGAAUUAUUUUUGCUUUGACCAACUGGGUUUAAUUUGUUUUAGGUUAUUAAUUCUGUUUUGUUUUCUAGAGUAGGUGUCUCCUAGUUGGGAGGCUAGGCACCCAGGGUGAGGGCUUCCACCUACUGCAUGCAAGUGUAGAGCACUGGGCUACAAGCAGGCUACACCUUAGUUUGUUUGAGGAUUGUUGUGGUGUUUGAUGUGCUGCACGAUGAGUGAGAAAUAGUUAGCACCCCCACACCUCCCUUAGUGUAGUCUGCCUCUCAGCUAGUGGCAUCAGCUCCACUUUUGGUUGACUUAUUUUCAGUUAGGGCAGCAGCUAUAGUUUUAAUGCUUUUAAUCAUUUAUACUAGGCUUUAAUCAUUGUUAAAAUAAAGAAUAAUUUUAAUUCACUUCAUUAGUUGAGUUUUACUUAUCUA